rnacentral:lncRNA from 1 species
ACCGCCAUCAAGCUUUCCUUGGCCUCAAACCUGACAUUCCAGGUGAUUACUUUAGAAUGGAUCGACUGGCACAUGGACCGGUAGGAUACCUAAAUCGAUCAUUGAGAUAGAGAUCGGUGCCGCAACUUUAUUAAUGCUCCUUCAGAAAAAGAAAGAGACUAAGAUCAAGAUUAAAAGGAUAAGGGGGUGCUUUCUUAAUGUCCCAACAUGUCGGACGGCAGAGGAUAUACUUAAAUGCUUCUAACAUUGAUCAUAAACUCGCUUGGCAUGCAAUGCACCGUAAAAAAGACGGUGAGGAGACGUGGCGUAUAACUAAUGAGCAGAGUGACACGACUAGAUGGUGAGGCCUAUCAGGCCUACAGGAGGGGGG